rnacentral:rRNA from 1 species
UACAGAGGAGCCAAGCGUUGUCCGGAUUGACUGGGCGUAAAGCGCACGCAGGCGGAUGCGCGCGUGGGGUGUGAAAUCUGGCCGCUUAACGGCCAGGCGCCAUCCCAUACGGCGCGUCUGGAGUGAUGCAGAGGUCGAUGGAAUUGCCGGUGUAGUGGUGAAAUGCGCAGAUAUCGGGAGGAACACCAGUGGCGAAGGCGGCGAUCUGGGAAGAUACUGACGCUGAGGUGCGAAAGCGUGGGGAGCAAACAGG